rnacentral:rRNA from 1 species
GAGUUUGAUCCUGGCUCAGAUUGAACGCUGGCGGCAGGCCUAACACAUGCAAGUCGAACGGUAACAGGAAGAAGCUUGCUUCUUUGCUGACGAGUGGCGGACGGGUGAGUAAUGUCUGGGAAACUGCCUGAUGGAGGGGGAUAACUACUGGAAACGGUAGCUAAUACCGCAUAACGUCGCAAGACCAAAGAGGGGGACCUUCGGGCCUCUUGCCAUCGGAUGUGCCCAGAUGGGAUUAGCUAGUAGGUGGGGUAACGGCUCACCUAGGCGACGAUCCCUAGCUGGUCUGAGAGGAUGACCAGCCACACUGGAACUGAGACACGGUCCAGACUCCUACGGGAGGCAGCAGUGGGGAAUAUUGCACAAUGGGCGCAAGCCUGAUGCAGCCAUGCCGCGUGUAUGAAGAAGGCCUUCGGGUUGUAAAGUACUUUCAGCGGGGAGGAAGGGAGUAAAGUUAAUACCUUUGCUCAUUGACGUUACCCGCAGAAGAAGCACCGGCUAAC